rnacentral:lncRNA from 1 species
CCUCUUCUUGCCUCCCCCUUUUCUCCCCCAGACGACGUUGCAGAUGAUGCUCUACCAAGAGUUGGAAGGACUCCCCAGGGAAUCCCACAAGACACUGCGCUUCCUAUGCCUCCUUUCCCUCGUUUAAAAAAUGGGGAUAAGAAGGUUGGCUACUGCUCCGACAGCCCUCACAAUGGAAGAGUAGCACUUCAUUUGUGGGUUAACAAAGGGCAACGCUGAAAUCUCCACUUCCACUAUUGAAUGGAACUGUGUCAUAAUAUCUGUUAGAGGCGUGCAAACUCGGCCACAAGGUCAUGGUCAUACGUUAUUGUUGGUCAAAAGCCGCAGCCCUACCUGAGGCUUUGAGAGAUAUGAACACCAAUGACUUUUCUUUUCCUGACUCCCGAAAUACCAAGAAAAAGCAACUUCCCCAAAUGGACAGAAACAGAAAGUACCCUUGGUUGAACACAGAGGCCUGGUUCCAGCCAUCGUUAGACGUGGGAAGGAACUCAGACCCCCUCUCCUACCUCAUCCCCAACCCCUUCCCCACACGUCACCCUUUCACAGAGAAGGAACCAGAGCCACCAAGGGCUGAGAGAGGACUUGAUAAGGAUUCCAGUCUUCUGUCUCCCCUGUCCCCACUUUUUCCACCACAAAAAUAUGGACAUUUGGAAGAAGAGGAGAAGAGGGAAGGUACACACUGUGCAAAGGAAGAAAAUGGCAGAAAUGCUCUGGAAUCAGGAAUUCAGGAGCAAGAAUGACACUGUGUGCCAGAUGGAAAUGUUGGAUUAGGAGAGCACUUGGAAAGGCAAAUAAUCUGCCAGAGAAAUUAUGGGAUGCCUGCCUUCUGAAAAUGGAGGAAAACUGCAAAAGAGUGGCUCAUUGGUGCUCACUCCUAGGGCUCUGAGCAUCCCAAGAAGCCAACUUGGUCCCAUCGUACAUCCCCUCAGAAGUAGGCAUUCUCCUCUCCACCUACAGCUGUGGCCCAGAUGUGGAGCCUGCAUGUUAUGCCACGCCGUCAACACUGAGUUCUGUCUGCGUCUCCCUGUCACAGAUCUGAUCAGCACCUGACACCUAUCCAUUCUCCAUUUCCCACCUCCCCAAAGCUGCUGGAAAAACUCUGAAAGGUACCUCUGUCACUCAUUAAGCAUCUGAUUAUGUACCUCUUUCUACAACUCCUUUGUUGCUUUGUUUUAAAAUCUAUGGCUCUUUGAAAUCACUCUCCUUCCUUUCACUGCCUAAUGUUUUCAAAGAGGAGUCUACCCCUGCCUCCACUUCCUCAUCUUACAUUUAUUCCUCAAUUCUCUGAACAGAGACCACCAGGGAAACCCCAAAUGUCAACUCCAAUGGUUUCAUUUUCUUACCUCACUACAGCAUUUGGCACCACUCCUUCUUGAAAAUCCCCUCCUUGGCUUCUCCUCCACCUCUCACCAUGAUUUCUGUUUUCUUCUUCUGGCUUCAUUUCUUCAUCAUCUCUUAAACAUUACAAUGCUUGAGAUUUCAGAUAAGGCUGCUUCUCUUCUCCCUGGGCAAUCUCAUCCAUUCCCAUCAUACUGAUCCCUCCCAAACUAUCGCCCAGACUUCUCUCUUGAGCUCCAGAUCUGUAAUUCCAAGUGUUUUCUGUACACCCAUACCUAGAUAAUCAAUCCAAAAGCCUUUUAAUUACUCCAUGACCUAAAAUAAAUUCCUCAUCUUCUCCCAAACUCCUUCUCCUGCCUUCCCUAUCUCAGUUGACAUCAUUACUAUCCACCAGUGGAUAGUAAGAUUUCUAGUAACUUAUAGCCAGAAUAUAUAAAGAACUCCCACAACUCAAAAGUAGUAAAGACAAAGAAUCCAAUUUAAAAAUGGGCAAAAGACUUGAACAGACACUUCAACAAAAAAAAGAUAUGCGCAUGGCCAAUAAACACACGAAAAGGUGCUAACAUGAUGAGUCUUUGGGGAAAUGCAAACUUAAACCAUGAGUUACCACUUUACAGUCAUUAGAAUAGCUAAAAUUCAUACUGAAAACACCAAAUGUUGGCAAGGAUGUGGAGCAACUGAAACACUCAUAUAUUGCUUGUAGGAGUGUAACACGGCACAACAAGUUUGGGAAACUGAUUGGCAGUAUCUAAUAAAGUUAAAUAUACAUCUACUUGUGACCUAGAAAUUCCACUCCUAGGUAUAUAUCCAAGAUAAAUGAAUGUAUAUAUCCCCACAGAAACAUAUAUAUGAAUGACUGUAGCAACUUUAUUUAUAAUAGCCCCAAACUGGAAACACCCUAAAUAUCAUUAAUAGUAGAAUGCAUUUUUUGUUAAAUUGUGGGAUAUUCGUACACUGGAAUGCUACUCAGCAGUAAAAAGGAAUAAAUGACUGAUGCAUUUGUCCACAUAGGUGAAUCUCACAAAAAUGAUGCUGAGCAAAAGAAGCCAGACACAAAAGAAAAUAUAGUGCAUGAUUCCAUUUAUAUGAAGUUCAAGAACCAGCAAACUAACUUAUAGUGAUAGGAGUCAGAAUGAUGGUUAUCUUGGGGGAAGGGAACAAUUUAGCCAGAAAGUGGACAUGAGUGAACUUUCUGGGGUGGUGUUUUUAUCUUGAUGGUGGUUAAAUGGUUUCUGCAUAUGCACAAGUUAGUGAGAUCUUCACUUAAAAGUUACAUAUUCUGCUCUUUGUAAAUUAUAUCCCAGUACAUAAAAUAUGUGAGAAAAGAAAAUCCACAUUGGUCUUCCUGUCACCCAGUGCAGUGGCAUGAUCAAUGCUCCCUGCAGCCUCAAAUUCCUGGGCUCAAGCCAUCCUCCUGCCUCAGGCAUGCCUAG